CAGUUUCAGACUCAGUUUUAAGACCAGUUUUACACCAGUUUCAGACUCGGUUUUAAACCAGUUUCAGACUUAGUUUUAAACCAGUUUUAAACCAGUUUCAGACCAGUUUCCCUCAGACAUCAGACACACCGGCGCUCUCUCGCUCUCUUACUGGUCCAGUUGCCGCUGCAGGUUGCUGAUCUUCUUCUUCGCUCGCUGCAGCGCCACAUGAACGUCUUCAGCUCUGCUGCAGCUCGACGCCAUCAGCACACCUCCACCUGUGUGAGCGCACACCUGAGCGUCUCCAUGAC